GAUGAACGCUGGCGGCGUGCCUAAUACAUGCAAGUCGAGCGAACGGACGAGAAGCUUGCUCUUCUGACGUUAGCGGCGGACGGGUGAGUAACACGUGGAUAACCUACCUAUAAGACUGGGAUAACUUCGGGAAACCGGAGCUAAUACCGGAUAAUAUUUUGAACCGCAUGGUUCAAUAGUGAAAGACGGUCUUGCUGUCACUUAUAGAUGGAUCCGCGCUGCAUUAGCUAGUUGGUAAGGUAACGGCUUACCAAGGCAACGAUGCAUAGCCGACCUGAGAGGGGGAUCGGCCACACUAGAACUGAGACGCGGUCCAGACUACUACGGGAGGCAGCAGUAGGGUAUCUACCGCAAUGGGCGAAAGCCUGACGGAGCAACGCCGCGUGAGUUAUGGAAUGCUUCGGAUCGUAAUACUCUGCUAUUAGGGAAGAACAAAUGUGUAAGUAACUGGGCACAUCUUGACGGUACCGAAUCAGAAAGCCACGGCUAACUACGUG
rnacentral:rRNA from 1 species